rnacentral:rRNA from 1 species
UGCAGUCGAACGCGAAAGCGGGGCAACCCGCAAGUAGAGUGGCGAACGGGUGAGUAAUACAUCGGAACAUAUCCAGUAGCGGGGGAUAACCUAUCGAAAGAUGGACUAAUACCGCAUACGAUCUACGGAUGAAAGCAGGGGACCGCAAGGCCUUGCACUAUUGGAGUGGCCGAUGUCGGAUUAGCUAGUUGGUGGGGUAAAAGCUUACCAAGGCGACGAUCCGUAGCUGGUCUGAGAGGACGAUCAGCCACACUGGAACUGAGACACGGUCCAGACUCCUACGGGAGGCAGCAGUGGGGAAUUUUGGACAAUGGGCGCAAGCCUGAUCCAGCCAUGCCGCGUGAGUGAAGAAGGCCUUCGGGUUGUAAAGCUCUUUCGGUGAAGACGAAACGGUUCAUGCUAAUAACGUGAACUAAUGACGGUACUCACAGAAGAAGCACCGGCUAACUACGUGCCAGCAGCCGCGGUAAUACGUAGGGUGCAGGCGUUAAUCGGAAUUACUGGGCGUAAAGCGUGCGCAGGCGGUUUGCUAAGACAGGUGUGAAAUCCCCGGGCUUAACCUGGGAAUUGCGCUUGUAACCGGCAAGCUAGAGUGUGGCUGAGGGGGGUGGAAUUCCACGUGUAGCAGUGAAAUGCGUAGAUAUGUGGAGGAACACCGAUGGCGAAGGCAGCCCCCUGGGUUAACACUGACGCUCAUGCACGAAAGCGUGGGGAGCAAACAGGAUUAGAUACCCUGGUAGUCCACGCCCUAAACUAUGUCAACUAGUUGUCGGGGAAGAAAUUCCUUGGUAACGAAGCUAACGCGUGAAGUUGACCGCCUGGGGAGUACGGCCGCAAGGUUAAAACUCAAAGGAAUUGACGGGGGACCCGCACAAGCGGUGGAUUAUGUGGAUUAAUUUCGAUGCAACGCGAAAAAACCUUACCUACCCUUUGACAUGCCAGGGAAGCCCGCAGAAGAUGUGGGGUGUGCCCCGAAAAGGGAACCUGG